rnacentral:rRNA from 1 species
AGAGACCGCUGGCGGCGUGGAUUAGGCAUGCAAGUCGAACGGUAUCAUCCUUUCGGGGGUGAGAGAGUGGCGAACUGGUGAAGUAACACGUAGGUUAUCUACCCUCAAGACGGGGACAACCCAGGGAAACUUGGGCUAAUACCGGAUGUGAGCAACUUUUAGGUUGUUUGAAAGGUGGCGUAAGCUGUCGCUUGGGGAUGAGCCUGCGUCCUAUUAGUUAGUUGGUGAGGUAACGGCUCACCUAGGCAAUGAUAGGUAGGCGGCCUUAACGGGUGGUCGCCCACACUGGGAUUGAGAUACGGCCCAGACUCCUACGGGAGGCAGCAGUCGAGAAUAGUCUACAAUGGUCGGAAGACUGAUAGUGCGACGCCGCGUGAACGAUGAAUCCCUUCGGGGUGUAAAGUUCUUUUAUAUGUGAGCAGUGCUUCUUAUAUUAACAGUAUGGGGAGAGAGAUAUUAGCAUAUGAAUAAGCAACGGCUAACUCCGUG